GGGAAUGUGGCUUAGUGGUAGAGUGCGUGCCUGGCAUGCAGGAAGCCCUGGGUUCGAUUCCUCAGUGCCA
rnacentral:tRNA from 1 species